UCUGACAGCUCAACUGUUAGGCUUCCNGGGGAUACUGUCANGCUUGGGACCGGGAGAGGUAAGAGGUACUACAGGGGUAGGAGUGAAAUCUUGUAAUCCCUGUGGGACCACCANUGGCGAAGGCGUCUUACCAGAACGGGUCCGACGGUGAGGGACGAAAGCUGGGGGNACGAACCGGAUUAGAUACCCGGGUAGUCCCAGCCGUAAACGAUGCUCGCUAGGUGUCUGGGAUGGUGCGACCGUUUCAGGUGCCGCAGGGAANCCGUGAANCGAGCCACCUGGGAAGUACGGCCGCAAGGCUGAAACUUAA
rnacentral:rRNA from 1 species